rnacentral:lncRNA from 1 species
CUUUAGCUAAUGAGUAGACAAAAUAAUGAAUGAUAACAAGAGUAGCUUAGGCAAUAUUUCAUAUUUUGCAAGAGGCAAUAGGAUUUUUAUAAAAAACUGUGACAAUACAUCAAAGUGUCUGUGUCAGUCUUUAUUUUAGCAGAAGCAUGAAUCCCACGAUAGGAACAAAGCCAAAAACUGCUUUAAAACUAUAGAAUGGUUGUGUGAACAGGUCUUCAUUUUAUCUGCUAAUGGCCAUUUUAUUGUUAUUUCAUAGCAGUUUCUAGGUUUGCUUUACAAUGAAGAUGGACAUGGACUUGCAACUCUCACCUUCAAAUAAGCCACCAGGCAGGUGGCAGUGCCAUAUACACAUAGGUUUUGGGAGAUACAGUGAAUGCUUACAGAAGAAGAGGCUGAGCACAUUUGGGUUGUCUAGUCUAGAGAAAAAAAGGCUGAGAGGUGACCUCACUGCUCUCCAACUCCCAAGGAGGACAUGCAGAGGGAGGUGCUGGCCUCUGCUCCCUGGUAACCGAUGGCAGGAUGUGUGGGAACAGCACAUAGCUGUACCAGGAGAGGUUCAGACUGGAUAUGUGAAAAGAUUUCUUUACCAUGAGGGUGGUCGAGCACUGGAACCAGCUUCCUAGAGAGGUGGUUGAUGCCCUGCGCCUGUCAGUGUUCAAAAGGCAUUUGGUAAUGCCCUCAUUAAUAUGCUUUAUCUUUUGGUUAGCCCUGAAGCAGUCAGGCAGUUGGUGAUCCUUGUAGGUCCUUUCCAACUGAACUAUUGCAUUCCGUUCUGUCCCAUUUCAUUUCAUUCUAAAACAUUUUGAGCAUCCCAGAUGAAUGAUUUGUACCAGCAUUUGGAUUAUCACUGCUUAAGCUUCAACACAGUCACAGCCACAAGGGGGACCAUCUUGUUGCAGGGUAAAGUUGCCAUUUUUAUCUCGUUUUCCUUUUCACAUUCUGUUUGGAGUAAGUUGGGUGAUUUUUCUGUGAAUGAUGAUUUGUCUACUUGGGCACUUGUGCCUAAGUCUAGUGAGGUAUAUCCAAAGCUCUGCAUAGAUCCAGCUUUCCUUGUUUAUAAAUCAGUGGGAAACUUCUCGCUGCCUGUACUAAAAGAAGAAUGAGGUCUGUGUUCAACUGUUUUGUCUCCAAACUACUUAAAUUUCACUCUUGAAGAUAAAUCCCUUACCCUUGCCAAACACCUUUUUAGAAGACUGCAGCAAUUAGAAAUCCAGGAAGAACAGAUUUGUUGCACUAUUCCCACUGCUAGCCCAGACACUGUCAAUAAGAAAAGGAGCUGGCAGACUAGAAGUUGGAAACUCUGAACUUACAGGCUUAUCAAUUCUGGAAGCUUCAAAAACCACACUUAU